rnacentral:rRNA from 1 species
UACGGAGGAUGCAAGCGUUAUCCGGAAUGAUUGGGCGUAAAGCGUCCGUAGGUGGCUAUUCAAGUCUGCUGUUAAAGCGCAGGGCUUAACCCUGUAAAGGCGGUGGAAACUGGAGAGCUAGAGUGUGGUAGGGGUAGAGGGAAUUCCCGGUGUAGCGGUGAAAUGCGUAGAGAUCGGGAAGAACACCAGUGGCGAAAGCGCUCUACUGGGCCACAACUGACACUGAUGGACGAAAGCUAGGGGAGCGAAAGGG